rnacentral:rRNA from 1 species
GACGAACGCUGGCGGCGUGCCUAACACAUGCAAGUCGAGCGAGUGGAGUUCUUCGGAACAAAGCUAGCGGCGGACGGGUGAGUAACACGUAGGCAACCUGCCUCAUAGAGGGGAAUAGCCUCCCGAAAGGGAGUUUAAUACUGCAUAAGAUUGAAGCCUCGCAUGAAGUAGCAAUUAACGGAGCAAUCCGCUAUGAGAUGGGCCCGCGGCGCAUUAGCGAGUUGGUGAGGUAACGGCUCACCAAGGCGACGAUGCGUAGCCGACCUGAGAGGGUGAUCGGCCACAAUGGGACUGAGACACGGCCCAGACUCCUACGGGAGGCAGCAGUGGGGAAUAUUGCACAAUGGGGGAAACCCUGAUGCAGCAACGCCGCGUGAGUGAUGACAGCCUUCGGGUUGUAAAGCUCCGUCUUCAGGGACGAUAAUGACGGUACCUGAGGAGGAAGCCACGGCUAACUACGUGCCAGCCGCCGCGGUAAAAC